GAUCAUUUUGGAAAAACAGAAUUUUUAGGGAGGAAAAAAAGGAAGAGAACAAACUUUUCAACUAGAAAGUGAGACAACCGAACAUUUAACUCAGAGAUCGGAGGAAUCUCUCCACCCGAUUCUUUUUUCCCACCAUCUUUCUCUUUCUCUUUCUCUGGUCUCUUUUCUUUCUCCCGAACACGGGGUUCGGGAGAAGAUGGGCGAAAGGGAGACGACGAGGAGAGAGAAAGAAUCUGAGAAUUCUGUCUCUUUCUACCCCAUGUCCCUUUCUUUUUCAUGUUCUUUGAUUCUUCAUCUGAAACACAAAACCCAAAAAAAAAAAAAAAA
rnacentral:RNase_P_RNA from 13 species